GGACUGUUAAUCUGUGUGGUGGUUACAGAAGCGUUAAAAGUAAAAAUUCAAUGUUAAAAAAAUCAUUGAGCUUUACAACUAAUUGAUCACAACCAGUUACAGAUUCCUUUGUUCCUUCUCCACUCCCACUGCUCCACUUGACCAGCCUUAA
rnacentral:sRNA from 1 species